ACGUAUGUAUUUAAUUCAAUUUCAUUAAACAGUGUCUUUGCGACUGACUACAUGAGAAAACUAUUAAAAACAAGCAAACCCUGGCAAGAAUUAAAUUAAUUCAAAAGUAACACACUUCUUUCCUUAAAAAGUAUGUAAUGUAAUUAGUUAUUUUGUUAGGGAGGAACGCAAUAUUGUAAUGCAUUAUUUUUUCCCCAACAUUGUUAUUUAAUUCUGGAGAGUGUCUUGUGUGACAGGGUUUAACUCUCUCUGGAUUCUCUCUCAGGUUUGCCCGCUUUAGUCGUCGCCAUUUCGGUCGGCUUCACCAAAGCCAAAGGCUAUGGCACCGUCAACUACUGUUGGUUGUCUCUUGAAGGCGGUCUCUUGUACUCGUUCGUGGGUCCGGCGGCUGCUGUCGUUCUGGUCAACAUGGUGAUUGGAAUUCUGGUUUUCAACAAGCUUGUGUCCAAGGACGGCAUCACAGAUGUUAAGCUGAAAGAGAGGGCUGGGGCGUCGCUGUGGAGCUCCUGUGUAGUUCUCCCUCUGCUCGCGCUGACCUGGAUGUCUGCCGUAUUAGCCAUCACAGACCGUCGCUCCGCACUGUUCCAGAUCCUCUUCGCCGUCUUCGAUUCUUUGGAGGGAUUCAUCAUUGUCAUGGUACACUGCAUCCUGCGCAG